GACAAACUCCAGAUUCUAUUCCUAAAAAAAAAAUAGAAAUACUUCGUACAGUGCCCAAUAAAUUAUUGGGUGUUCUUUUAAUGGUUUCAGUACCUGCGGGAUUAUUAACAGUACCCUUUUUAGAGAAUGUUAAUAAAUUCCAAAAUCCAUUUCGUCGUCCAGUAGCGACAACCGUCUUUUUGAUUGGUACUGCAAUCGCUCUUUGGUUGGGUAUUGGUGCAACAUUACCUAUUGAUAAAUCCCUAACUUUGGGGGAAAAAGUGUUGCUAAAUUUAUACCGUCCGUUAUUUCAUAUGUGACGACAAGUCGAACCAAAACAAAAUACUUUUUCUUACUAGGUGUGAUCCGUUGAACAUAGAUCCAAUUUUUCCAUUUUUUGGAUUCCUUGGAAUUUAGUUUUCCUGUUCCUGGUGGUAUCAAAACG
rnacentral:lncRNA from 1 species